AAAAAGCAUUUUCCAGGGUGUUUAUUGGGCGGCUACGAGACGCACGGAGCGGACCCGGAAACAGCAAAAUACAAGAAUGAACAGCUUAACCAGGAAAUAGAGAAGAUCAAGUUCUCUAAGUGGGGUCCUUGGCAAUGCGACUGCCGGC